CCUAGCCUGCUUCCAUGGAAGUCCACCCUAGCAGAGGAUUCUUAGCAUUGCUUGUCUUUGAUGGAGCUUUCAGUUUAGGGCUUUGACAGCUGAGGUGCUGCUCCUCAUCCAACUCAAAUGUUUCAAAACAUUACAGGGUGUGCUAAAGACAGGGUCCUAUGUGAAAAGGGAUGUACUUGCCUUCCAGAUUAACCAAGAACACAGAAAAGUACUCAGGGUGCUGUUCCUUGAAGCAGGGAUGUCAGAACUCAUUCUUUGUAAAGUGAGUAAAGUGUGGUGAAUGAAAAUCUUUUUGUCUUGAACAGCAACAAAGAUUUUGGGAGGAUUAAAAAUGGUGUGACUUGCUGACAUGUAACUAAUCUGCUGUCUGUGUGACUUGGGAAGAGAACCUUGGCCUUGGUUCUGUUCUCCCACUAUCUCCCUACCUCCUCACGUGAACCCAAGAAUAUUGCAUCCAAUGUUGUGUGUCCUGUCCUGUGUGCUGUAUUUCUAAAUCUUGGUGACCUCUGAUGACUUGGAAUCUUCUCAGUGGGGGAAGAAUUCUCCAGUACAUCGCAGCAGUUAUAGCCAGGAAAAUGAUGUAAGCAGGACAUAAUACCUCUGGAGUGCUCUGGCCUGGCUCCUUGGCAAAACAGGUACUUGUUUGAUACACGGCCCUUUUGGGCUGCCAGAUACCAUGUGCAUACAUACCCAGUGAAAGGCUGAUAGACAGGUCAGUUUUUGGUGUCCUUUUUAUUUGGCUAUAAAAUAAUCAAAGACUCAGACUCAGACAGAGUCAGUUAAGUUGCUGUUGGUCUCAGGAUGCAAUUUUCAAAGAUGUGGAGAAUCCUGGGAAGACAACUGAAGGCCUGAGGGCACAUCAGAAUGUAGAGUUUGAGCUCAUGCAUUGUGGUCAGGAGUGUGGAUAUUUGCCGCAGGGCAACUAUCCAUACUAACUAUAGGAUGGGUAUCCCUUGGUGGGAGAAACCUAAGCGAGUAAUGAAAAUGGCAUCAUGAUGUUCUGAGGCUUAAUUUUUGCACAGUCAGGGUGUCACUACAGAACAUGAAAGUAAUUACAUAAAAAUAAUUCAUUUGCAUGUGGUCCUAUUGACUGGAGAAGUUUAAUACCCAUUGAAAAGUGCAUAUUUUAAUAAUUGUUUUGACAAAACCCACAUGAAUACACUAACCCUAUCUAUGAAGUAUUUCUUCAUAGGGUAUUGCCCAGGAUUUGACCUUUAGUUCAUGGAAGUCCAAUUCAUUAGGUAGGGAUCUUUUGGUUGUUGUUAUUUACUGUUUUUCAAUAACCAUAAUUUCUCAAUGCCACCACUAAGCAGAACUUGUAUUUUACUUUUCUACGUUUUGUAAUAUUGAAAGAGCCCCAUCUCACUCUUUUGAAAGUCAAAAGAAGAUUACCACUAGGCAGUAAGCAUGACAGAUGCAUAAUUUGCAGUUACAUCCUAUUUCUAUCUGAUCCACUAUUCUGUCUGCUAUUUAAAAAGUGAAUGAACAGGGAGAUCAAAACUCUAAAGGAGUUAACACACAAGUCUCGAGUAAAGCUUUAUCUGCCUGCCAAGCUGCCAUGGCUCACAAUAAAGUGAAUCUUCUUCUAUGCAAACAAUUAAAAAAUUUGAAAGCCUUUGUAGGCCAAGCAUCACAGGAAUGCAGGUAUUGCCAGGCAGAAAUCUUAAUUUCAAUCAUAUGCAAGACCUACGGUGUUAACAUUCAUAAGGAGUUUAUGAAUAGGAAUCUAGAGGAAAUUACUUACCUCUUAUCAAUAGUCACUAUUUCCUCUGUCUGCAUAGAGGCUUGGAGGGGAAUAGUUGGUAUCUUUAUUAUUAAAAUGUCAAGUUAUUUCUUUUGUAAAUUUCUAGAGUGCAUAUGUUGUGUUACAGCACAAAGAGUGCAUAUUCUCUGUGCACAGGGAACACAAUGUCUAUUAUAGUUUUUAAUACUACCAUUAUGUGGAGUGAGGAACAAAAAUAACUGGCAUUCUUGGUUUUCUUCACAUAGAGGGAUUACUCAGCUAUCCCUAGUCCUGUGAAGGAGGAUCAGAGAUUGGAGUACAAGGUUUGCAAAAGAGAGAUUUGUAGGAACCCUCUGCUUACAUUGCUAUAAACCCUGGCAAUCCUAUAAUAGAAAAAAGAAAAGGCGGACUCAAUUUCCCCUGCAAUGACCACUGAGACAGGUUUGUUGCUAGGCCUGAUUUGCCUUUACUAGUAAUUUUAGAAGGGUACAACAUGUGUAGAGUAACUGAUGGCUUAUACUGGUGGAAAGGAAAGGAAAGGAAAGGAAAGGAAAGGAAAGGAAAGGAAAGGAAAGGAAAGGAAAGGAAAGGAAAGGAAAGGAAAGGAAAGGAAAGGAAAGGAAAGGAAAGGAAAGGAAAGGAAAGGAAAGGAAAGGAAAGGAAAGGAAAGGAGGUUUUUAGGAGUAAAAUGAACCUCAUUCUUUUAAUUUUUUUUCUUUUCUUUUUUUUUUUUGUGAAAUAGACAUAACUUUUGGUUGUCUGGACCACCUUUGAGUGGUCACCUUUGAGGUGAGGUAGUGGGUGGUGAUUUCCAGAAAAAAUAUCUUGUGGCUCGGGGAACUCUUUGAGACACAAAUGGUUAGAUGCUGGAAGGAUAUUAUGGGGAAACACCAUUACAGACUUACCUUGUUCUUGUACUCUACACUAAGCACCUUUUGUUCACUGGUGUUGAAAACAGACCUUUGGUCCCACCUGUGUGCUUGUUCUUGUAGCCUUCUGUGGGUGGUGGAGAACUUACCUCACAUGGUAAUAAUUUCCUCUAAGUGGUGGAGGAAGGAAAAUGCUUUUCUGUGCCACAGCCCUGAGAUGGAGUUCAGAAGCUGAGUCUUCUGAUGUCUGUAUCCAGCCCUUGAAGCAGAAACAAGUAUCUGAACUGCUGCAAGAUAACUAUAAUCAACUCUGCAGACAAUUCUCUUUUCUGCAGCUAAAAUACUCUCAUGCAGGAUGCUGAAAAGAGAUGUGAAUUUUGGCACCAAAUUCAGCAAUUUCUUGUUGUUCAUGGUGAGGAGACCAAUUCUUGUUGCAGCAAUGGAAAGGGACAAGCACAGUGAGGUGUAAUUUCAGAUGACCAAGUGGUUUUUGAAUGAGCUUGUUUAUAGUGAGGAAGAGCUCUGGAAGAGAAAAACAAGAGAUUUUUGCUUGAAUGUGUCUUCAGCUGCACCUUCUAGACACCUACAGAGAAUGUGAUAGACUAUUUUGAAGAGUGUGUUAUGGUGGGCACUGAAUCAGAGACCUUCCCUUCACAUAUCUUCGUGCUGACCUGAUUGCUGGGAGAACUGGUACAAGGAUCUGCCAAGGAGGAGCAGCAAAGGACAUAACUAUUCAGUAAACAAGGGCAAAUGGUCUGAAGCAUUCAUGGAAAUGUAUAUAAUGAUUUCCUACUCAUAUACUCUGUAUCAAAUCUGCAAAACCUAAGAAUUACUCCCCAGCUUCUGUAUUUGUGUGUGUGACCUGUGCAUUUCCUGAUUUUUAAUUUUUUUCCCACCAGUUUUAUUCUUCCUCUUCCUCUCUUUUCCUAUGCUUUCACUUUCCUAGAAGAAAGGGUCACAUGAGCUUUGGGGAAACUUCAGUCAGCUUUGGGUAGAUCCCCAACAGAGUAGUUGUGAACAGGGAAUUGAGUGAAUGCAGAGAGCAUUCAUUGCAGUCUGUGUAUAGUCUGUGGGAGGAAGCCCUUGCUUUUCAGCUGUGUCACUAAGAUGAGCAGCACAACUUUGAGACAAAAGGGAGUGGUUUCAAAGAACUAAUCUCCUGUGGUUUUGGAGAUUGCAAGUUCCUUUGAUGUCUCUGUCCAUGGAUGAAAGCCAUUGUUUUGUUGUUUAGUUAUGGAAUGACCUUCUAUCCUGGUCUUUUUCCCAUUCAUUUCCUUUAUCUUGACAAUGAGGAUAAGCAAGGUGCUUUCCUUUGUGUUUCUGGAAGUUCCCCAUUCUGUGUAGUGUCCACAGGAGAAGGCUGUGUUGUCUUUAGGCUUUCUUUGUGCUGAUGUUGUAACAAAAGCUGUUCCAGUACAACUAAGGAUCGGGGCCAUAUGCUGACUGUCAGACAUGAUUAUUUUUCAGAACUAUACUCACAGAAGUGAGUCUUUUGAUCAUAUCCCAAAGGCAAGAGCAAGAGGUUCUCUCUGGUCAUAUUAAUGUCAUGCUGGUUUUCAUUUAUUUUUCAACUAUGUUUUUUCCUUACUAUGGUGAAAAUCCUCAUAAAUAAAUCAUGGAGUGUUAAACGACCCAGUAUGCACUUGCUUUCAAAAGUAUUUGCCUUUUAAUUUAAGAAUGCUUUAAAACUUAUUUUAGAUGACUCUGUGCUGGUAUAAUAUCUAGUGUUCAGUGUCCAACUACUGUGGCAUUUUUGCUGGUUGCUUGCUUCUGGAGAGGAGAUGCCUGAAACAGCUUUCUUGGAAUAUUAAUUUCCAUAAAGAAGAUUGCUUACUCGUGAAUAUCUUCUUUUAGGCCAUGGUGUAAAUCAUCAGUAGAUCAGAGGGGGAGAACUUGUAAUUUAGCUACCUGAAGUGCUGUUGACACAAAGAUAGAUGGUGUCUAAUUCUGUAAGAGCCCCAUGACUGAGAAGUUCCACUUCAGAAGUUUCUCUUCUCACAGAUACAGAAAGUAAAUUCUUUAAUCAGGGAAACCAUAGUGUCAUAUUCAACAUUAACACACAUCCUGUGAUAUCCCCAUGUCUACACCAAUGACAAUUUUUAUUAGAAUUAUGAUUUUAUAAAUAAGAUAUACCCAGUCAAUAUAUACCCAUGCUUUCUUCAUGCUAAAUCUGGAAUUAUGGGAGAACCCUACUAACAAUUUUUUUUUCUCUCCUUCAUAAAGAAAAGAGAAAUAUACAGUCUGAAGGUAGUAAUGAGUAUAUAAUAAUCUUAUGCAGCUGCUAAAUAAAAUAAACUCUUGGUGCCUGUAUUUUGAAAUGGCUGCCAGCAAGUUAGUUGAAAUGAGUUCAAAAUCUAUAUGCAGAUGAGGUUGUGUGUUGUGACUGUCUACCUAACAUUGGAUAAAUAUAGCUGGAUGAAAUGUUUUCCAUGUAAUUUAGAUGUGUGUGUCACCAAGAAGGCUUCCAGGAGAUGAUGAAAUUCUGGGGUGGAAUAUGUGUGUCACAGCAAUGUAAGAUUGAUCACAGGUGUUGAUUUUUUUUUCUGCUCAACAAGAAACUAUUAGAACAAUUCACAUCAACAGAAACAGUUCUUCAACAUGAAUAUGGCCCAUUAAAUAUGGAGGAGAUUGAAAUAUUGGUUCUACAAAUAUCUAUAACUACAUGCACAUUCAGAAGUGCUAUCAAAAUUAAUGACAUAGUAUAUAGAAUGUGUAUGCUCAUGAAUUUAUGUAAAAUCAAACAUUGUGGAUAACAUGAGCCUCUUACAGAUUAGAAAUCAAUAAAACAACAAUAUUUUACUGUA